CCUCAGGCCAGACCUCCCCGCGCACCUCAGGCCAGACCUCCCCGGGCACCUCAGGCCAGACCUCCGCCCGCCCGCACCUCAGGCCAGACCUCCGCCCGCCCGCACCUCAGGCCAGACCUCCGCCCGCCCGCACCUCAGGCCAGACCUCCGCCGCCUUCACUGCAGCACUCCAGAGGAGCAAUUCAAAGAUCAGGAGUUCCUGUUCCACACAGAACCCAAAAGAAUGCCCAGAAUGCCAAGAACAGUUAACAAGUAUAUGCAAAUGUGCAACACUGAUGUUAGCUUUAAAAGUAAGGAGUCCAGAGUGCUCUGUGCUGACCAUCUUUCAGUGUAAUUAAGUCUUCACAUUCCGGAGGAGGACUACUGACACACCCUACCAAGUCCUGGGCUGUGCCUGGAGGUUAGAAAACAGAACCAAAUGUAAUGACAGAAAAAAUUGAAAACUAUAUUUUAAAAAUGAUUGUUCAACAAGACCAGGCAGCCACUCAACCACUUCAGUACCUCGUUUCUGGAUGAAGAC